CUGGUGCUUUCGAUAAUAUUGUUCUUUUGAGAGCCAUGCCCUCUGGAAAAUAAAUAAACGUUCCUUCGUAAAAUGAAAAAUAAAUAAAUACCCGAAGCCCCAAUUACAGCAUUUCCUUAGAUCCUUUUGAACGUUCCUGAGAUCUUCAACCGGGAGAUCUCUAUACUCGGCUCAAUCUUGCCUUUCCUUCUGUAAGUAUUAAUCUCUUCCCAAUUGCAAAUCAUUGCAUUUCAAAGCCCUAGGUGCCUGUAAUUUCUUAGCUGGAUUUCUUUAAAAUUAUUAGCUAUAUCUCUGAUUUAAUUCUUAUAUAAUCAUGAAUUCUUAGGGCUUUAGAUCUUUUAUUCUAUAAGGCUUUGAAUCUCUUUUCCUUUAGAUCCUUCUUUUGGCGUAUAAGGAGACCGAGAUUGAAUGAUGUUCUAGUAUGCGUUUUUGGGAUUUAAAUUUUUAGAUUUCUUGUAUUUCAUCAAUUUUAUGUCUGAACUGCGAUCUCAUUGGCAGAAGUCCAAGAUUUUUACGUGUUCUUGUGAAUUUGUAUUAGUAAUUAUCAACUUUAGCAAAUGAUAUAAUUUUGCUCGAUAAAUAUUUUUUCAUUUGUCUUUCGGUUCCAGUACUAAUUUCAGGUGAGGAAAGUAUUAAUUUUUUGGCUAGAUUUCAGCAACAAGAGCCUUUAUGUGUAAUUCUUAGAAUGAUUGCUCAUGUUCUAUCUAGCGCGAUCAUAUGGGACCAAUCAGUUGCAAUGAUUAAGAAUUUCAGUGGUUAAUACUGUUAUGUUUACACCCUGACAAUCUUUUGAUGUUAAAGCACCUAUCUUCUAUUUGACAAAAUACUUAACUAAUGUUUUUUAAAUUGUAUAUAUGCUAUAAUCUAGAGAAUAAAUUUAAUGUAAAAGCCUCCUGAAUCCUGAGAUGUAAUCAGGUUGCGUUUUAGAAAAUUCGGGUCCUGACUUGUUAUUUUUUAUCAAUCUGGCAAUUUUUUUUGCAUGCCAGGUGCAUAUUUUGCUUCUUAGAGUCAUGAGCCACAAAUAUUCAUUAUGGUUCUUUUUCCCCCACUCUUAN
rnacentral:lncRNA from 1 species